rnacentral:rRNA from 1 species
GACGAACGCUGGCGGCGUGCUUAACACAUGCAAGUCGAACGGAAAGGCCCUGCUUUUGUGGGUUUCUCGAUUGGCGAACGGGUGUGUAACACGUGAGUAACCUGCCCUUGACUUUGGGAUAACUUCAGGAAACUGGGGCUAAUACCGGAUAUGAGCUCCUGCUGCAUGGUGUGGGUUGGAAAGUUUCGGCUGUUGGGGAUGGACUCGCUGCUUAUCAGCUUGUUGGUGGGGUAGUGGCUUACCAAGGCUUUGACGGGUAGCCGGCCUGAGAGGGUGACCGGCGACAUUGGGACUGAGAUACGGACCAGAAUCCUACGGGAGGCAGCAGUGGGGAAUAUUGCACAAUGGGCGGAAGCGUGAUGCAGCAACGCCGCGUGCGGGAUGACGGCCUUCGGGUUGUAAACAGAUUUCGACUGUGACGAAGAGUGAGUGACGGUAAUGGGUAAAGAAGCACCGGCUAACUACGUG